CUGCUACUCCCUCCGAUCCAUAUUACUUCUCGCUCAAGCGGAUGUAUCUAGACGUAUUUCAGUGCUAGAUACAUCCGUUUGAGCGACAAGUAAUAUGGAUCGGAGGGAGUAUUAU
rfam:Hordeum vulgare subsp. vulgare, WGS project CAJW01000000 data, contig: morex_contig_158060